rnacentral:rRNA from 1 species
CAAAAACAUGUCUUUUUGAUUUUAAUCUAAAGUCUGACCUGCCCAAUGAUUAUUUGAAUGGCCGCAGUAUUUUGACUGUGCAAAGGUAGCAUAAUCAUUAGUUUUUUAAUUGAAAGCUGGAAUGAAUGGUUUGAUGAGAAAAUAACUGUCUCUUAAUAAGUUUUUUUGAAUUUUAAUUUUGAGUUAAAAAGCUCAGAUGUUUUAUGAAGACGAGAAGACCCUAUAGAGUUUUAUAUGUUUUUAUUUUAGUUUUAAUAUGAUUUUACUAGGGCUAGGAUUUUAAUAUAUUUUGUUGGGGUGAUAUAAAAAUUUAAGAAACUUUUUACUAUUUUGACACUAAUUAGUGAAUUUUUGAUCCUAAUUUUUAGAUUAUAAGAUUAAAUUACCUUAGGGAUAACAGCGUAAUUUUUUUAAAGAGUUCUUAUUGAUAAAAAAGUUUGCGACCUCGAUGUUGGAUUAAAGUUUAAUUUGGGUGAAGAAGCUUGAAUUUUAGGUCUGUUCGACCUUUGAAACUUUACAUGAUCU